rnacentral:rRNA from 1 species
UACGGAGGUGGCAAGCGUUGCUCGGAAUUACUGGGCGUAAAGGGCGCGUAGGCGGGGCGAUAAGUCGGGCGUGAAAGCCCCCGGCUCAACCGGGGAAUGGCGCUCGAGACUGCCGCUCUUGAGUACCGGAGAGGAGGGUGGAAUUCCCGGUGUAGCGGUGAAAUGUGUAGAGAUCGGGAGGAACACCGGUGGCGAAGGCGGCCCUCUGGACGGAUACUGACGCUGAGGCGCGAAAGCGUGGGGAGCAAACGGG